AGUGAACGCUGGCGGUAGGCCUAACACAUGCAAGUCGAACGGCAGCACAGUAAGAGCUUGCUCUUACGGGUGGCGAGUGGCGGACGGGUGAGGAAUACAUCGGAAUCUACUUUUUCGUGGGGGAUAACGUAGGGAAACUUACGCUAAUACCGCAUACGACCUACGGGUGAAAGCAGGGGAUCUUCGGACCUUGCGCGAUUGAAUGAGCCGAUGUCGGAUUAGCUAGUUGGCGGGGUAAAGGCCCACCAAGGCGACGAUCCGUAGCUGGUCUGAGAGGAUGAUCAGCCACACUGGAACUGAGAAACGGUCCAGACUCCUACGGGAGGGAGCAGUGGGGAAUAUUGGACAAUGGGCGCAAGCCUGAUCCAGCCAUACCGCGUGGGUGAAGAAGGCCUUCGGGUUGUAAAGCCCUUUUGUUGGGAAAGAAAAGCAGCAGGUUAAUACCCCGCUGUUCUGACGGUACCCAAAGAAUAAGCACCGGCUAACUUCGUG
rnacentral:rRNA from 1 species